AUGCCCAGGCCAAGGUGGUCCACAUCACCAUGGCGGCCCUCACGCUCCAGGACUCUGGCCGAUACUGGUGCAUGCGCAACAGUUCCGGGACCCUGUAUCCCAUGCUGGGCAUCCAGCUGGACGUGUCUCCAGGUGGAAAGCUGGUGCAGGAAAAUAUCAGCCAAUACAUGUGCCAUAGUAGGGGACAGUCCCAGGACAGUGGCAUGGGAGCCUCGAUACUUCAUCCAGGAUGAUCACUUCUAUGGCAACUUCACCGUCACCAUGACUGAGCUCAGAGAAGAGGCCUCAGGGUUCUAUGGGUGUGGAAUCUCUCAAUCCCCUGAGAUCUCAUUCAUCAGAAACAUCUGCCUGGUGGUAUCUCAAGGUCUCUUAGGUACUCCUGCCUCCAAUGUGAAUCCUACCCAGAACAUGCCUCAGACUCCCACAGUUCUUACUACCCGCUAAGGCCCUGAGCCCACUGUACAUCAGCCCAAAAACCAUGACCCAACCUCCACCCAAGUCAACUGCUGAUGUCUCCACUCCUGGUCCACAGUCAACAAUAAAAAUGGGACAAAUGUCAUAUGAUUUCCCAGCCUCUGGGCCCUGGAUUUGGACACUGAGCCGGUUGUUCCCCAGUCAGUGUGCUGAGAGGUUGAGGGAGUGAGAGAAAGGGGAGGGUGGGGCAGGAGCAGACCUGAGUCACAUUAGUCUGGGUAGAAAUGUCCAGGGAAGAAGGAAGUGGUGAUGGAGAAUAGGAGAGGCUCUCUCUCAGUCAGGCUGUCCUCCCCAGUUCACCUUCCUUGCUUUCUUGCAACCUGAGUAUUAAGGAGAGGGUAAUGGCAUCUUCCCCAUAUUCCAGUGGACCCCAUCCAACCCCAGGGGCUGGAUGGGUAGUGGGAAAGCAGUCUCUGAGUGAGGGACCCUGGAUCUAGUGUCAGCCUGACUGACUGACUGUGACUUUGUGUGAGUCAGGAGCCCUCUCUGGCUUCAGCUUCCUUGUCAAUUCAAUAGGCAUGCUAGAAGCCCAGAGCUGAAGACAUUGUCCACCUAAUAGCUCUCAGCAGGAGCCACAUGUUAGCACUAAAUGCAGCAUUGGUUUUUGCUUUGUUUGGUUAGUUUUUUAAAAAAGAAUACUGAUGUGUGUGCUCUCAUACACAGACCAAUAGAAUCGGAAUUUCUGGAAAUAAAGCCCAUCUCAGUACUUUUUAAUAAACACCUCAGAAAGAAAUUCAGAGAGGAAAGGACAAACAAACUGAGGAAUGAGAAAGAAUAAAAACUCUAUCUUUUGAAAUAAAAAAAUUUAAUGUGAUUUUUCCCUUUAAGAAGAAAAAUCUGCAUUAAUUAAAUGAAAACUAUCAUCCAAGCUACUUAAGUAUAAAAGCACAUUGUGCUAUAAAAUAUUUAAUCUGUAUUAAUAAGAAGCUAAGCUUAUAACAAGAAACUGAAUGCUUCUCAGUUGACUACUUACAUUGAGGCAAAAGUCUAUAAAGCAGCAUUUCCUAUGAUGGUGGAAGGUUCUCUGUCCCUGUCCAACAUGGAUAGCCACUAGGCAUGUGUGAUAAUUGAGCACCUGACCUGAGACAAGUGAGAGUGAAGGACUGUAAUUUCUAUUUAUCAUUUAAUUUUUGUUAAUUUAAAUGUAAAUAGCCCCUUUGACAAAACUUUGGGAGUGUUUUAAGGCAACUUUAGGACUUAUUGAGAAGUUUGUUUGAAAGUAGGUCUUUCAAAGCAGGGGCUGGGCUAUGAUUAAGUAAGGAUCACAAUCAAACAGUACAGGAUUGGUAGAAACAAUAAGAUGAGGUUCCUUUUUUUUUUUUAACUUUAGAUUCUGGAGUACAUGUGCAGGUCAUGUAGGGUUGUUGCAUAGGUGCAUACAUAACCAGGUGGUUUGCUGCCUCUAUUCCCCCUUUGAUUAUAUCCAUCAUUUCUCCCCAUGCUAUCCCUCCCCAUCCCCCACUGUCCCUCCCCUAGCUGCUCCCAACCCCUGCCAACUGCCCCCAGUGUGUGAUGCUCCUCUCUCUGAGUCCAUGUGUUCUCAUUGUUCAACACCCACCUAUGAGUGAGAACAUGUGGUGUUUGGUUUUCUGUUCUUGUGUCAGUUUGCUGAGAAUGAUGGUUUCCAGAUUCAUCCAAGUCCCUAAAAAGGACUUGAACUCAUCAUUUUUUGUGGCUGUGUAGUAUUCCAUGGUGUAUAUGUGCCACAUUUUCUUUGUCCAGUCUAUCAUUGAUGGGCAUUUGGGUUGGUUCCAGGUCUUUGCUGUUGUAUGCACGGCUGCAAUGAACAUACAUGUGUAUGUGUCUUUAUAGCAGAACGAUUUAUAGUUGUUUGGGCAUAUACCCAUAAUGGGAUUGCUGGGUCAAAUGGAAUUUCUAUUUCUAGAUCCUUGAAAAAUCACCACAUUGUCUUCCACAAUGGUUGAACUAAUUUACACUCCCGCCAACUGUGUAAGAGUGUUCCUAUUUCUCCAUGCCCUCUCUAGCAUCUGUUGUCUCCAGAUUUUUUAAGGUUUGCCAUUCUAACUGGCGUGAGAUGGCAUCUCAAUGUGGUUUUGAUUUGCAUUUCUCUCAUGAGCAGUGAUGAUGAGCAUUUUUUCAUAUGUUUCUUGGCCUCAUAUAUGUCUUCUUUUGAAAAGUGUCUGUUCAUAACCUUUGCCCACUUUUGAAUGGGGUUUUUUUCUUGUAUAUCUGUUUUAGUUCUUUGUAGAUUCUGGAUAUUAGCCCUUUGUCAGAUGGGUAGACUGCAAAAAUAUUUGCCCAUUCUGUUGGUUGCUGGUUCACUUUAAUGAUGGUUUCUUUUGCUGUACAGAAGCUUUGAAGUUUAAUUAGAUACCAUUUGUCUACCUUGACUUUUGUUGUCAUUGCUUUUGGUGUUUUAGUCAUGAAGUCCUUGCCUAUGCCUAUGUCCUGGAUGGUUUUGCCUACAUUUUAUUCUAGUGUUUUUAUGGUGUUAGGUUUUAUGUUUAAAUCUUUAAUCCAUCUGGAGUUAAUUUUAGUGUAAAGUAACAGGAAGGGGUCCAGUUUCUGCUUUCUGCACAUUGCUAGCCAGUUUUCCCAAUGCCAUUUAUUAAACAUGGAGUCCUUUCUCCAUUGCUUGUUUUUGACAAGUUUCUCAAAGAUCAGAUGGUUGUAGAUGCAUGAUAUUGCUUCUGAGGCCUCUGUUCUGUUCCAUUGGUCUACAUCUCUCUUUUGGUGCCAGUACCAUACUGUUUUGGUUACCGUAGCCUUGCAGCAUAGUUUGAAGUCCAGCAGUGUGAUGCCUCUGGCUUUGUUCUUUUUGCUUAGGAUUGGCUUGGCUAUGUGGGCUCUUUUUUGGUUCCAUAUGAAGUUUAAAGUGGUUUUUUCCAGUUCUGUGAAGAAGGUCAUUGGUAGCUUGAUGGGGAUACUGUUGAAUCUAUAAAUGACUUUGGGCAGUAUGGCCAUUUUCACAAUAUUGAUUCUUCCUAACCAUGAGCAUGGAAUGUUUUUCCAUCUGUUUGUGUCCUCCCUUAUUUCAUUGAGCAGUGGUUUGUAGUUUUCCUUGAAGAGGUCCUUUACAUCAUUUGUUAGUUUUAUUCCUAGGUAUUUUAUUCUCUUUGUAGCAAUUGUGAACGGGAGUUUGCUCCUGAUUUGACUCUCUGUCUGUUAUUGGUAUAUAGGAAUGCUUGUGAUUUCUGCACAUUGAUUUUGUAUCCUGAGACUUUGCUGAAGUUACUUAUUAGUUUGAGAAGAUUUUGGGCUGAGACGAUGGGGUCUUCUAAAUAUACAAUCAUGUCGUCUGCAAAUAGAGACAGUUGACUUCCUCCUUUCCUAAUUGAAUAUCUUUUAUUUCUUUUUCUUGCCUGAUUGCUCUGGCUAGAAGUUCCAAUACUGUAUUGAAUAGGAGUGGUGAGAGAUGGCAUCCUUGUCUAGUG
ensembl:lincRNA